UACGUAGGGGCCUAGCGUUGUCCGGAAUUAUUGGGCGUAAAGAGCUCGUAGGCGGUUCGGCAAGUCGGAUGUGAAAUCUCCACGCUUAACGUGGAGGGGCCAUUCGAAACUGCUGUGACUUGAGUCCGGUAGGAGAGUGUGGAAUUCCCGGUGUAGCGGUGAAAUGCGCAGAUAUCGGGAGGAACACCAGUAGCGAAGGCGGCGCUCUGGGCCGGGACUGACACUGAGGAGCGAAAGCGUGGGGAGCGAACAGG
rnacentral:rRNA from 1 species